rnacentral:rRNA from 1 species
GAUGAACGCUGGCGGCGUGCCUAAUACAUGCAAGUCGAGCGAACGGACGAGAAGCUUGCUUCUCUGAUGUUAGCGGCGGACGGGUGAGAAACACGUGGAUAACCUACCUAUAAGACUGGGAUAACUUCGGGAAACCGGAGCUAAUACCGGAUAAUAUUUUGAACCGCAUGGUUCAAAAGUGAAAGACGGUCUUGCUGUCACUUAUAGAUGGAUCCGCGCUGCAUUAGCUAGUUGGUAAGGUAACGGCUUACCAAGGCAACGAUGCAUAGCCGACCUGAGAGGGUGAUCGGCCACCCUGGAACUGAGACACGGUCAAGACUCCUACGGGAGGCAGCAGUAGGGAAUCUUCCGCAAUGGGCGAAAGCCUGACGGAGCAACGCCGCGUGAGUGAUGAAGAUCUUCGGAUCGUAAAACUCUGUUAUUAGGGAAGAACAUAUGUGUAAGUACCUGUGCACAUCUUGACGGUACCUAAUCAGAAAGCCACGGCUAACUACGUG